rnacentral:rRNA from 1 species
CAGCCGCGGUAAUACGAAAGACACAAGCGUUAUCCGGAUUUAUUGGGUUUAAAGGGUGUGUAGGCUGUUUAUUAAGUCAGUAGUGAAAGCUUACAGCUUAACUGUAAAAUUGCUAUUGAUACUGAUAGACUUGAGUAAGAUUGGAGCAUUUGGAAUGUAUGGUGUAGCGGUGAAAUGCAUAGAUAUCAUACAGAACACCAAUAGCGAAGGCAGGAUGCUAAAUCUUCACUGACGCUGAGGCACUAAAGCGUGGGGAGCAAACAGGAUUAGAUACCCCUGGUAGUCCACUGCCCUAAACUAUGAUCACUAGCUAUUGGAAAAACUAUAUUCAGUGGCCAAGCCAAAGCGAUAAGUGAUCCACCUGGGAAGUACGAUCGCAAGAUUGAAACUCAAAGGAAUUGACGGGGUUCCGCACAAGCGGUGGAGCAUGUGGUUUAAUUCGAUGAUACGCGAGGAACCUUACCAAGGCUUAAAUGGAUUCCGAAUAAGCUGGAAACAACUUAGUCUAUAAGACGUAAUCCAAGGUGCUGCAUGGUUGUCUUCAGUUCGUGCUGUGAAGUGUUUGGUUAAGUCCUAUAACGAGCGCAACCCCUAUUGUUAGUUGCCAACGGGUAAAGCCGGGGACUCUAACAAAACUGCCGGCGCAAGUCGUGAGGAAGGUGGGGAUAAUGUCAA